GAAUGGAGCGGAGCGCAGUGUGGGCAGUGAGGCGGGACUCUCUAGUACAAAGGAUGGGUCCCGGGGACUUUUUGUUGCUGUAGCGGGGGCGCGCACGGGAUAAGGGGGGACACCCGGCUUUUGGGGUGCAGUGUACCGGGGUCCCGAACAUGGGUAACGCGGAGAGUGCGGGGGGAGUCCCGGGAACCCCAUUAUUACCUCUGAAAGUUCCAAUGCCGGACCCGGGGGAGCUGGAGGAGAGAUUCGCCCUGGUCUUGAGUUCCAUGAACCUUCCCCCAGACAAGGCACGACUCCUGCGACAGUAUGACAAUGAAAAGAAGUGGGAUCUCAUCUGUGACCAGGAGCGGUUUCAAGUCAAAAAUCCCCCUCACACCUACAUCCAGAAGCUACAGUCUUUCUUAGACCCAGGAGUGACUCGAAAGAAAUUCAGGAGGCGGGUGCAAGAGUCUACAAAAGUGCUGCGAGAACUGGAAAUAUCUCUAAGGACAAAUCACAUAGGGUGGGUGCGAGAGUUUUUGAACAAUGACAACAAAGGCCUGGAUGUUCUGGUGGAGUAUCUCUCCUUUGCACAGUGCGCGGUUAUGUUUGAUUUUGAUGGCCUGGAAAACGGGGAGGAUGGCUUGGUUGAAAAGUCAAAAUCGUGGAGCAGAUCCAUCGAGGAUCUGCAGAAUCCCAACGCCCUCCCUGCCCCUUUCACCAACGGCCUCGCUCGCUCUGCCCGCCAGUCUGUGCUCCGCAGCUACAAUACAUUGCCAGGAAAGAAAGCUUUGAAAAACUCCAGGUUGGUCAGUCAGAAGGACGACGUACACGUGUGCAUCAUGUGCCUACGGGCUAUCAUGAACUACCAGUAUGGCUUCAAUCUGGUAAUGUCUCAUCCUCAUGCGGUCAAUGAAAUAGCUCUAAGCUUGAACAACAAGAAUCCAAGAACUAAAGCUCUGGUUUUAGAACUACUAGCGGCUGUGUGUCUUGUCCGAGGAGGCCAUGAAAUCAUUCUGUCUGCUUUUGACAACUUUAAAGAGGUCUGUAAAGAGAAGCAUCGCUUUGAAAAGCUGAUGGAAUAUUUCAGGAAUGAGGAUAGCAACAUUGAUUUUAUGGUGGCAUGUAUGCAGUUUAUUAACAUCGUGGUCCAUUCUGUAGAAGACAUGAAUUUCCGUGUACAUCUUCAGUUCGAGUUCACCAAAUUGGGCCUGGAAGAGUUUCUGGAGAAGUCUAAGCACACAGAAAGUGAGAAACUCUUGGUUCAGAUCCAGGCCUACUUGGACAAUGUGUUUGAUGUUGGUGGUCUGCUGGAAGAUGCUGAGACUAAGAAUGUGGCACUUGAGAAAGUGGAAGAGCUGGAGGAACAUCUCUCUCACAUGACUGAGAAGCUGCUGGAUUUGGAGAAUGAGAACAUGAUGCGGGUGGCAGAACUUGAGAAAACGCUGUUACAACGGGAAAAGGACCUGGAGCUCAUGAGGGACACGUAUGAGAAAACAACCCAUCAGGUGAACACGCUAAGGAAAAUCGUCAAAGAAAAGGAAGAAGCCGUUCAACAUCUUCGCCAGCUGGAACAGGCCAAUGCUUUGCAUCAGCAGAAACAGGGGUCUGCUGGCAUGGUGCUGCCACCUCUUGGGGUUUCUGGUGGAGAUAUGUCCUUGAUUGCAGACUUUCCACCACCUCCACCGCCACCACCUGCUCCUGCACCAGCACCUGCAGCUCCACCUCCUCCUCCGCCUCCUCCUCCACCUCCUCCCCCACCCCCUCCACUUAUGCAAAGUAAAUGUCCGCCCCCACCGCCACUUCCAUCCUCCUGUCCGGUCAUCAUCACAACAGGAUUAUCUGCCAUCCGGAUCAAGAAACCGAUCAAAACAAAAUUCCGCUUGCCUGUGUUUAAUUGGACGGCACUGAAGCCCAACCAGAUCAGUGGGACGGUGUUCAGCGACCUGGAUGACGAGCGCAUUUUACAGGAUCUGGAUAUGGAUAAAUUUGAAGAAAUCUUCAAAACUAAAGCACAGGGGGCUGCCUUAGACCUGACCUGCCCCAAGACUAAAUCUUCUCAAAAAUCCAUUAGCAAGGUGACUCUUCUUGAAGCCAACCGAGCCAAGAACUUGGCCAUCACACUGCGAAAAGCUGGAAGGACAACAGAGGAGAUCUGUAAAGCUAUCCAAACGUUCGACUUGCGGACAAUACCUGUGGAUUUUGUGGAGUGUCUGGUGCGAUUUCUUCCCACAGAAGCAGAAGUGAAGUUACUGAGACAAUAUGAGAAGGAGAGGAAGCCUCUGGAGGACCUGUCUGAUGAAGACCGAUUUAUGAUGCUCUUCAGUAAAGUGGAACGUCUCUCCCAAAGGAUGUCCAUCAUGACGUUCAUGGGCAACUUUAACGAGAACCUGCAGCUGCUCACACCGCAACUUAACGCAGUGAUUGCAGCUUCUGCUUCUGUUAAGUCCUCUCCGAAGAUGAAACAAAUGCUGGAGAUUAUCCUCGCUUUAGGCAAUUACAUGAACAGCAGCAAAAGAGGAUCUGUAUACGGGUUCAAACUACAGAGCUUGGACUUGCUUCAAGACACAAAGUCAACAGACAGGAAAUUGACCCUUUUAAACUACAUUGCAUUGAUCUGCAAGGAGAAGUAUCCUGAAGUGGCCACGUUCUACAAUGAGCUUCACUUUGUGGAGAAGGCGGCAGCAGUGUCUCUAGAAAAUGUCCUACUGGAUGUCAGAGAGUUGGGGAAGGGAAUGGAUUUGAUCCGCAAGGAGAGCAGCCACCAUGAUAACAGUGUGUUGAAGAGUUUUGUGAGCACAAAUGAAGGGAAACUAGACAAGCUUCAGAAGGAUGCUAGGACUGCGGAGGAAGCGUACGCAGCUGUAGUCCAUUACUUUGGAGAAAAUCCAAAGACAACGCCGCCCUCUGUUUUCUUUCCAGUGUUCGCCCGAUUCAUCAGAUCCUAUAAGGAUGCUGAGCAAGAGAAUGAAAUGCGGAAGAAGCAGGAGGAGGUACUAAGAGAGAAAUUAUUAGCUCAGGAGGCAAAGAAGAUGGAUCCUAAGUCUCCAGCCCCAAAAAAUAAGCGUCAGCAACAAGAUUUGAUAGCUGAGCUGCGGAGGCGGCAGGCCAAGGACCACCGCCCUGUCUAUGAAGGAAAGGAUGGAACCAUUGAGGAUAUCAUCACAGUCCUGAAGAGUGUCCCAUUCACAGCCAGAACAGCCAAGAGAGGCUCUCGGUUCUUCUGUGAUACAUCCCUUUUUGAGGAUUCAAACUGUUAAGCCCAGUGCCUUUAAAAAAAAACAAAAAUUAGCCCCAGGAAGAUUCAUCUGUAGUAUCCCUCCUAUUGCUGAGGAUCUCCGCAAUCAGCCCUUCAGAAGAGCAGACGCGGUCCUCCGGAAUGCCUGGCGACGGAUCUAGCACUUCCAUGUUUACGAAGUCGUAAGGCUUAGCCGUGCAUUGCCCUGCGAGGCCAUAGACUGGUAGAACUUAGCAGUUUACGCCGCGCUCCUCCCUCCGUUCCACAUUGUAAGGGAAAUGAAGAAGCCCGGGACACUUUACAGAGGAGAAAAAGUGCCUUAUUGCUACAGUAUUAUAGAACUAUUUUUAUUUCUUUUACUAUUUAUAUAUUUUUUUUAAAAAUGUUUUACUGUUAAAAAAUGUAAAUAUUUUGUAAUAUUCUUUGCUGAAUGUGUACCGGCUGCUGUGGGCAAUAUUUGUUGCGAAAAAAAAAAGAAAAAAAAAAAAAGAGAAGGAGGAGGAGGAGUAGUGCCUUGUAAGUGUAAAAAAAAAAAAGAAAAAAGUCUGCAGAUGGAUAGUCUGAACACUAAAGUGAUGCCACAACUGAAGCUUCAGGUAAUGCAGUUCUAAUGGUUAUUGGGGACGGUAAUUUAAAAAAAAAAAAUA